GACGAACGCUGGCGGCGUGCUUAACACAUGCAAGUCGAACGGUGAACUCCGCUUGCGGGGGGAUCAGUGGCGAACGGGUGAGUAACACGUGGGCAACCUGCCCCCAGCUCUGGGAUAACUCCAAGAAAUUGGGGCUAAUACCGGAUAUGACCGCUGACCGCAUGGUCUGGUGGUGGAAAGAUUUAUCGGCUGGGGAUGGGCCCGCGGCCUAUCAGCUUGUUGGUGGGGUAGUGGCCUACCAAGGCGACGACGGGUAGCCGGCCUGAGAGGGUGACCGGCCACACUGGGACUGAGACACGGCCCAGACUCCUACGGGAGGCAGCAGUGGGGAAUAUUGCGCAAUGGGCGAAAGCCUGACGCAGCGACGCCGCGUGGGGGAUGACGGCCUUCGGGUUGUAAACCUCUUUCAGCAGGGACGAAGCGAAAGUGACGGUACCUGCAGAAGAAGCACCGGCCAACUACGUG
rnacentral:rRNA from 1 species